UACGAAGGGGGCUAGCGUUGUUCGGAAUUACUGGGCGUAAAGCGUGUGUAGGCGGCUUUGCAAGUCGGAUGUGAAAGCCCCGGGCUCAACCCGGGAAGUGCACUCGAUACUGCAGAGCUUGAGUGUCGGAGAGGUUGGUGGAAUUCUCGGUGUAGAGGUGAAAUUCGUAGAUAUCGAGAGGAACACCGGUGGCGAAGGCGGCCAACUGGACGAACACUGACGCUGAGAACACGAAAGCGUGGGGAGCAAACAGG
rnacentral:rRNA from 1 species